rnacentral:rRNA from 1 species
GGAGGGGGUUAGCGUUGUUCGGAAUUACUGGGCGUAAAGCGCGCGUAGGCGGAUUAGAAAGUUGGGGGUGAAAUCCCGGGGCUCAACCUCGGAACUGCCUCCAAAACUGCUAGUCUAGAGUUCGAGAGAGGUGAGUGGAAUACCGAGUGUAGAGGUGAAAUUCGUAGAUAUUCGGAGGAACACCAGUGGCGAAGGCGGCUCACUGGCUCGAUACUGACGCUGAGGUGCGAAAGUGUGGGGAGCAAACAGGAUUAGAUACCCUGGUAGUCCACACCGUAAACGAUGAAUGCCAGUCGUCGGGUAGUAUACUAUUCGGUGACACACCUAACGGAUUAAGCAUUCCGCCUGGGGAGUACGGUCGCAAGAUUAAAACUCAAAGGAAUUGACGGGGGCCCGCACAAGCGGUGGAACAUGUGGUUUAAUUCGAAGCAACGCGCAGAACCUUACCAACCCUUGACAUCCUGUUGCUACAUCCAAAGAUNGAUGGUUCCCUUCCGGGACCANUGACAGUGCUGCAUGCUGUCCUCCGCC